rnacentral:rRNA from 1 species
CUCAACUAUUAGGCUUCGGGGGAUACUGCCAGACUUGGAACCGGGAGAGGUAAGAGGUACUACAGGGGUAGGAGUGAAAUCUUGUAAUCCCUGUGGGACCACCUGUGGCGAAGGCGUCUUACCGAGAACGGGUUCGACGGUGAGGGACGAAAGCUGGGGGCACGAACCGGAUUAGAUACCCGGGUAGUCCCAGCCGUAAACGAUGCUCGCUAGGUGUCAGGCAUGGUGCGACCGUGUCUGGUGCCGCAGGGAAGCCGUGAAGCGAGCCACCUGGGAAGUACGGCCGCAAGGCUGAAACUUAAAGGAAUUGGCGGGGGAGCACAACAACGGGUGGAGCCCUGCGGUUUAAUUGGACUCAACGCCGGACAACUCACCGGGGGCGACAGCAAUAUGUAGGCCAAGCUGAAGACUUUGCCUGAAUCGCUGAGAAGUGGUGCAUGG